UUGCUGUGAUGGCAAUCUUAGGACACCUUUAGAAUACUCAUUUAAAAAAAAAGCAAUUUCUGAGCAAU